rnacentral:rRNA from 1 species
CCUACGGGAGGCUGCAGUGGGGAAUAUUGGACAAUGGGGGGAACCCUGAUCCAGCCAUGCCGCGUGUGUGAAGAAGGCCCUCGGGUUGUAAAGCACUUUCAGUGAGGAAGAACGCCUGGUGGUUAAUACCCAUCAGGAAAGACAUCACUCACAGAAGAAGCACCGGCUAACUCCGUGCCAGCAGCCGCGGUAAUACGGAGGGUGCGAGCGUUAAUCGGAAUUACUGGGCGUAAAGCGCGCGUAGGUGGCUUGAUAAGCCGGUUGUGAAGGCCCCGGGCUCAACCUGGGAACGGCAUCCGGAACUGUCAAGCUAGAGUGCAGGAGAGGAAGGUAGAAUUCCCGGUGUAGCGGUGAAAUGCGUAGAGAUCGGGAGGAAUACCAGUGGCGAAGGCGGCCUUCUGGACUGACACUGACACUGAGGUGCGAAAGCGUGGGUAGCAAACAGGAUUAGAUACCCCAGUAGUC